GUUUUUGGGUAGACGCAACUAGGUCACAAGAAAUACCGUUUUUGAAAGUGAAGGAAAUGCGGACAAUGAAAAAAUCCCAAUCUUUUGUGUACGUCCUCGAUUUCUUACAAUCGGAACUUUCUCCGAAUAAAAAAGGGGGGCCCCGACCGUGAGAAGCGGGUUUUUUUACGGCCUACUCCCGGCAGUUACUUUCGCUUUUCCCCGUGCCCGUCACACAUACCCUUCGAUAGCCAAGCUCCACCAUUGGCCGCUGGGUGCUCUACGAACAUGCCGCUGUCGGCUCGGACCGAUCACCGGCUACCCGGGGGUUGCUGGCGACCGGAUUUUUUUCGACCCCACCCCCACGUGGUCCAGACAUGGCACGCGGAGCUCAGCUCAGAGAAACAGCUGCGAUACCAAAGAAUGUUGGCAGCCCAGAAUAUUUGAAGGUCAACCGAUAUAUGACUUGAAUACAAUAUUUGAACAACAUUCGAAAUUAAUAUUCAAAACAAUUUUGCUUUCUGGUUUCUGAAAUUAUCUGAAACAGAGGGCUGGUUUCAUCUUCCUUAGCAUCCGCCAAGAAUAACGGAAUGUAUGAUUGACUUCUUAGAAAGAUGAAGAAGUGUCCUGAGAGAAGAAAAUAAAAUCUUAUUUAACCUUACCAAAUAAGGUUCAGAGUUCGUACCUUUUACGUAAUUGUAUUCGUAUUCGUAAUUGUACACACCUUCUUUAGUAAAAAGUUGUCACAGUCUGAGUACCAUUUCGAACCAGUGAAAUAUCUUUCUUUCAUUCAAAUUAUUAUGAGAACAUACAUUCUAAAAUAAACCCCAUUGUAGCACUAUAUAAAUUACAGUCAGAAGAGUUUUGUAUUUUUCGUACCUAGGAGACUUGAAAAUGACUUUCUGUUUUUAUUUAAAUGUAAACAGGAUCUUGUAUUUUUUCUGUAAAACUUAUAAGAACAAGUUAUGUAAAAUAUUAAUUGAACAUUUUCGCGAGUAUUAAUACUGGCGAACCGGUUGGUCGCCAAAAGCGGAUAGUUUUUAAUAAAAAUCAGCUUUUCUUCUGUUGAGAAUAAUGUGCACCAAUACAUUUUGAGGACAGGAUUCUUAAAAUAAAUAAUUGAUAAUAUAUAUAAAUUAAUACUUUUGCUUACAAUGCCUUUUCAUUCGUUAGAAGGGAUGAAUUUUGAUGGCAAGAAAUUUAUAGAAACCCUAAGCAUCUCUAGAAUUUUUAUACAGAUCAAGAGAAAUAGAAAUUCCUAAAGUAGAACA